rnacentral:rRNA from 1 species
UACGUAGGUGACAAGCGUUUGUCCGGAUUUACUGGGCGUAAAGAGCGCGCAGGCGGUCGUUCAAGUCGAGUGUGAAAGCCCCCGGCUCAACUGGGGAGGGUCAUUCGAUACUGAUCGACUCGAAGGCAGGAGAGGGUAGUGGAAUUCCCGGUGUAGUGGUGAAAUGCGUAGAUAUCAGGAGGAAUACCGAUGGCGAAGGCAGGUCUCUGGGCUGACACUGACGCUCAUGCACGAAAGCGUGGGGAGCAAACAGG